rnacentral:rRNA from 1 species
GGUUAAGCGACUAAGCGUACACGGUGGAUGCCCUGGCAGUCAGAGGCGAUGAAGGACGUGCUAAUCUGCGAAAAGCGUCGGUAAGGUGAUAUGAACCGUUACAGCCGGCGAUGUCCGAAUGGGGAAACCCAGUGUGAUUCGUCACACUAUCGUUAACUGAAUACAUAGGUUAACGAGGCGAACCGGGGGAACUGAAACAUCUAAGUACCCCGAGGAAAAGAAAUCAACCGAGAUUCCCCCAGUAGCGGCGAGCGAACGGGGAGCAGCCCAGAGUCUGAAUCAGCUUGUGUGUUAGUGGAACGGUCUGGAAAGUCCGACGGUACAGGGUGAUAGUCCCGUACACCAAAAUGCACAGGCUGUGAACUCGAAGAGUAGGGCGGGACACGUGGUAUCCUGUCUGAAUAUGGGGGGACCAUCCUCCAAGGCUAAAUACUCCUGACUGACCGAUAGUGAACCAGUACCGUGAGGGAAAGGCGAAAAGAACCCCGGCGAGGGGAGUGAAAAAGAACCUGAAACCGUGUACGUACAAGCAGUGGGAGCACCUUCGGGUGUGACUGCGUACCUUUUGUAUAAUGGGUCAGCGACUUAUAUUCUGUAGCAAGGUUAACCGUAUAGGGGAGCCGCAGGGAAACCGAGUCUUAACUGGGCGUUAAGUUGCAGGGUAUAGACCCGAAACCCGGUGAUCUAGCCAUGGGCAGGUUGAAGGUUGGGUAACACUAACUGGAGGACCGAACCGACUAAUGUUGAAAAAUUAGCGGAUGACUUGUGGCUGGGGGUGAAAGGCCAAUCAAACCGGGAGAUAGCUGGUUCUCCCCGAAAGCUAUUUAGGUAGCGCCUCGUGAAUUCAUCUUCGGGGGUAGAGCACUGUUUCGGCUAGGGGGUCAUCCCGACUUACCAACCCGAUGCAAACUACGAAUACCGAAGAAUGUUAUCACGGGAGACACACGGCGGGUGCUAACGUCCGUCGUGAAGAGGGAAACAACCCAGACCGCCAGCUAAGGUCCCAAAGUCAUGGUUAAGUGGGAAACGAUGUGGGAAGGCACAGACAGCCAGGAUGUUGGCUUAGAAGCAGCCAUCAUUUAAAGAAAGCGUAAUAGCUCACUGGUCGAGUCGGCCUGCGCGGAAGAUGUAACGGGGCUAAACCAUGCACCGAAGCUGCGGCAGCGACACUAUGUGUUGUUGGGUAGGGGAGCGUUCUGUAAGCCUGCGAAGGUG